UCUCAACCUUCCCAGGGUCUCCAGGCACAUCCACGCUGCUUGGGGAUGUGCUCCUCUGAGAGAUGCACCAGCUUGGAGAGUUCAUCUGGAUUUGGCAUACUUGAGUAUCCCUCCAAAACGCUGUGAAGAAGAUGCACACCAGGCUCCCAGUGAUGUGUCGAAC